rnacentral:rRNA from 1 species
AUACGUAGGGUGCGAGCGUUAAUCGGAAUUACUGGGCGUAAAGCGUGCGCAGGCGGUUUUGUAAGACAGUGGUGAAAUCCCCGGGCUCAACCUGGGAACUGCCAUUGUGACUGCAAGGCUGGAGUGCGGCAGAGGGGGAUGGAAUUCCGCGGGUAGUAGGGAAAUGCGUAGAUAUGCGGAGGAACACCGAUGGCGAAGGCAAUCCCCUGGGCCUGCACUGACGCUCAUGCACGAAAGCGUGGGGAGCAAACAGGAUUAGAUACCCUGGUAGUCCACGCCCUAAACGAUGUCAACUGGUUGUUGGGAAUUUAUUUUCUCAGUAACGAAGCUAACGCGUGAAGUUGACCGCCUGGGGAGUACGGCCGCAAGGUUAAAACUCAAAUGAAUUGACGGGG